UACAGAGGGUGCAAGCGUUAAUCGGAAUUACUGGGCGUAAAGCGUGCGCAGGCGGUUUUGUAAGUCCGAUGUGAAAUCCCCGGGCUUAACCUGGGAACUGCGUUUGAAACUACAAGGCUAGAGUGUGACAGAGGGGGGUGGAAUUCCACGUGUAGCAGUGAAAUGCGUAGAGAUGUGGAGGAACACCGAUGGCGAAGGCAGCCCCCUGGGUUAACACUGACGCUCAGGCACGAAAGCGUGGGGAGCAAACAGG
rnacentral:rRNA from 1 species